rnacentral:rRNA from 1 species
CAGUCCCGCGGUAAUGCGUAGGUGGCAAGCGUUGUCCGGAAUUAUUGGGCGUAAAGGGCUCGCAGGCGGUUUCUUAAGUCUGAUGUGAAAGCCCCCGGCUCAACCGGGGAGGGUCAUUGGAAACUGGGAAACUUGAGUGCAGAAGAGGAGAGUGGAAUUCCACGUGUAGCGGUGAAAUGCGUAGAGAUGUGGAGGAACACCAGUGGCGAAGGCGACUCUCUGGUCUGUAACUGACGCUGAGGAGCGAAAGCGUGGGGAGCGAACAGGAUUAGAUACCCCGGUAGUCCCUGUCUCUUAUACC